rnacentral:rRNA from 1 species
GCUUCCGUAGGUGAACCUGCGGAAGGAUCAUUACCGAGUGCGGGCCCUCGCGGCCCAACCUCCCACCCUUCUCUUUACGGGGGGGAGUGCUUUGGCGGGCCCACCGGGGCCACCUGGUCGCCGGGGGACGCACGUCCCCGGGCCCGCGCCCGCCGAAGCGCUCUGUGAACCCUGAUGAAGAUGGGCUGUCUGAGUAUUAUGAAAAUUGUCAAAACUUUCAACAAUGGAUCUCUUGGUUCCGGCAUCGAUGAAGAACGCAGCGAAAUGCGAUAAGUAAUGUGAAUUGCAGAAUUCCGUGAAUCAUCGAAUCUUUGAACGCACAUUGCGCCCCCUGGCAUUCCGGGGGGCAUGCCUGUCCAAGAGUCAGGGGUGCCCUCAAGCACGGCUUGUGUGUUGGGUGUGGUCCCCCCGGGGACCUGCCCGAAAGGCAGCGGCGACGUCCGUCUGGUCCUCGAGCGUAUGGGGCUUUGUCACUCGCUCGGGAAGGACCUGCGGGGGUUGGUCACCACCAUAUUUUACCACGAGCAGAGCAUCAAAAAGGUAGGAGUUACCCGCUGAACUUAAGCAUAUCAAUAAGCGGAGGAA